CAGUCGAACGAACUCUGGUAUUGAUUGGUGCUUGCAUCAUGAUUUACAUUUGAGUGAGUGGCGAACUGGUGAGUAACACGUGGGAAACCUGCCCAGAAGCGGGGGAUAACACCUGGAAACAGAUGCUAAUACCGCAUAACAACUUGGACCGCAUGGUCCGAGUUUGAAAGAUGGCUUCGGCUAUCACUUUUGGAUGGUCCCGCGGCGUAUUAGCUAGAUGGUGAGGUAACGGCUCACCAUGGCAAUGAUACGUAGCCGACCUGAGAGGGUAAUCGGCCACAUUGGGACUGAGACACGGCCCAAACUCCUACGGGAGGCAGCAGUAGGGAAUCUUCCACAAUGGACGAAAGUCUGAUGGAGCAACGCCGCGUGAGUGAAGAAGGGUUUCGGCUCGUAAAACUCUGUUGUUAAAGAAGAACAUAUCUGAGAGUAACUGUUCAGGUAUUGACGGUAUUUAACCAGAAAGCCACGGCUAACUACGUGCCAGCAGCCGCGGUAAUACGUAGGUGGCAAGCGUUGUCCGGAUUUAUUGGGCGUAAAGCGAGCGCAGGCGGUUUUUUAAGUCUGAUGUGAAAGCCUUCGGCUCAACCGAAGAAGUGCAUCGGAAACUGGGAAACUUGAGUGCAGAAGAGGACAGUGGAACUCCAUGUGUAGCGGUGAAAUGCGUAGAUAUAUGGAAGAACACCAGUGGCGAAGGCGGCUGUCUGGUCUGUAACUGACGCUGAGGCUCGAAAGUAUGGGUAGCAAACAGGAUUAGAUACCCUGGUAGUCCAUACCGUAAACGAUGAAUGCUAAGUGUUGGAGGGUUUCCGCCCUUCAGUGCUGCAGCUAACGCAUUAAGCAUUCCGCCUGGGGAGUACGGCCGCAAGGCUGAAACUCAAAGGAAUUGACGGGGGCCCGCACAAGCGGUGGAGCAUGUGGUUUAAUUCGAAGCUACGCGAAGAACCUUACCAGGUCUUGACAUACUAUGCAAAUCUAAGAGAUUAGACGUUCCCUUCGGGGACAUGGAUACAGGUGGUGCAUGGUUGUCGUCAGCUCGUGUCGUGAGAUGUUGGGUUAAGUCCCGCAACGAGCGCAACCCUUAUUAUCAGUUGCCAGCAUUAAGUUGGGCACUCUGGUGAGACUGCCGGUGACAAACCGGAGGAAGGUGGGGAUGACGUCAAAUCAUCAUGCCCCUUAUGACCUGGGCUACACACGUGCUACAAUGGAUGGUACAACGAGUUGCGAACUCGCGAGAGUAAGCUAAUCUCUUAAAGCCAUUCUCAGUUCGGAUUGUAGGCUGCAACUCGCCUACAUGAAGUCGGAAUCGCUAGUAAUCGCGGAUCAGCAUGCCGCGGUGAAUACGUUCCCGGGCCUUGUACACACCGCCCGUCACACCAUGAGAGUUUGUAACACCCAAAGUCGGUGGGGUAAC
rnacentral:rRNA from 1 species